UCUAAGAUUGUUUCGAACCCGUGGCUGUUCUCAACGGAAUAGUACGAAACGGUAUUUUUUUCGCGAAAAAAUAUUGGUUAAAAACUUUCGUAUUUUCCAUUUUCGAUAGAGAAAAAAGGAUACUUUCUACUGUCUUUUGAUUUUAAAGAGCAAUUUUCCGAAAUUCGCUGGUGACUAUUUAAAAGCGUUGCGUUUCUUGUGUAUCUAGUCGGAAGUCGGUUCGGAACUCUGUCCCAGGAAAAAUUCCUUCAAAGGCACAGAGCAGAGGAAGAGUGGAAAUAUUCAAUGGCUGGGCUUUGUUAGAGAAAUUGUCAUCCGGAAUGGACUGGAGCCCAUUAUAAUGGCUAACUUUUUAGAGCUUUGAUAAUUAUAUACUCAAUUUUGAUAUUUUUUGUUCGCUUCGUCUCGCAAAUGGGUUUGUUCUGCUGCUAGUGAAAUUGGGGUUGUUUUAUAUAUGUCGCGUUGUGCUCGUUUGUACUCGUACGUCUAAUUUUGCAGGGUGUCCAGGUCACUUUCAUGGUGUGUCCAUUAUUUUUCCGGUACGCGUGUGAUAUUGUCUGGCAUAUGAAAACCGAUCUUAUUUCGUUCCUUACUUAAUGCGGAAAGCAGAAAGCAGUUGAAAAAGUCAAAUUAAGUAUCAGAAGAAGUGCAUGCAUAUGUGAAUUGUUUCUAUAAUUGGCCUCUAUUGUGUGGCGUAAAAUAGUACUAGCAGUGCUGGAUCACUUGUUAUACUCUAUGGCAAGUAGAUAAAACAGGGAAAACUGGAUAGUGAGGUGGAAAACUAGCAGCGCUAAUUUCACGGCUUGGAGAUAAUCGAGACGCAAAAUUCAUAGAAGGGCAGACAACUAUCGAGCGAGUGGCAAAACAACAAUGGGUACCGUUUUGAGCUUUAGUCCGCGGGAACGACGUCCUGUCUAUUCAACGCAUCAUCACAGCCAUCAUCAUCAUCAUCACCAUCACCACAACGGCAUCGGAAGUGGCGGAGGCAGUGGUGGUACAGGGAGUCUGAGUUCAUCAAACUCAGCAGACUUCCCUUUGAACAAUUUCUCCUACGAACAAUUGAACAAUGCCAAAAAUCGAGAAAAUACGAAACCCAUUUGUCAACAGUUGCCUAACAACAAUAACGGUAAUAUGGUGCUUCUGGGACAAACACACAACAAUCAUGCAAAUACAAUUAAUAAUAAUAAUAAUAACGGUAACUCUACAUCGGAUCGUAGUAGCGAUAGUGCGCGAAUUCUCUCAGAAAAAAAUGCACUAGAAAAGAAUCUCAAGAAACAUUCCCUCUUCAUUAACGCCCUGUCCUGGAAGAGAUUAGCAGCAUCUCAUGGCAAGAAGAAAAUGGAUAAUAACAAGAACAAAGCGGCUAAUCUUCCCACAGCGAACUAUCGGGCACCUUUGGUUGAUGCAACUCACCCCCUGGUCGUAGACAAAAACAAGAACAUUCAACAACAAGCACAGCAAUUACAGCAGCAGCAAGCACAACAACAAACACAAGUAUACUAUACGCCAGGGGCCCCGAAGAGCGCUUUGCUAGCUUUGGAUCUGGUGAGGGCUAAUAACACUAAUCCAACCCAGCAGCCGGAUAAACUUGCAGCAAAAUUACCAUUGUCCUUACCAUUGCCGUUGCCAUUACAGACUUCAAUUUCACAACCUCAGCAACACAGCCAUGGACCCAGAAAGACUGUCAUUCAGGCAUCAACGUCGGAAUUACUUAAGUGCCUGGGAAUGUUUUUACACGAUCGUUGCCGAAAACUAAGAGAUUUCCAAGCUGGAGAUGCUGUUAUGUGGCUCAGAGCUGUAGAUAGAAGUCUGCUCCUGCAAGGAUGGCAGGAUGUAGCGUUUAUUAAUCCAGCCAAUGUUGUAUUCGUUUAUAUGCUUGUUCGUGAACUAGUCGAUGGUGAUGAAACAAAGGAAUCAGAAUUACAAGCCGCCGUUUUAACGUGUCUUUAUUUAUCUUACUCAUACAUGGGCAACGAAAUCAGUUAUCCUCUAAAACCUUUUCUCGUUGAAGACUCAAAAGAAAAAUUUUGGGAUAGGUGUCUAUUAAUUGUUAAUCGACUUAGCGGUAAUAUGUUACGAAUAAAUGCCGAGCCAGGCUUCUUCACAGAAGUUUUUACUGAAUUGAAAGCUUGCGGCAUGAGCACAAAUAAUAAUACGCCCUCGAAUACAGUAUCGUGCGGAGCUGCUUGACGUAAACAUCCACGCGAAGUCGUCGUUAAACUAUCUAUAGCAGGCCAUCAACAAAAAUAUCAACAUCAAACUACCCUGCAAGAACUCACCAGUGUUGUUUAAAAAAUUAUAUUCCAAACGCAAAAAAAAUUGGGAAUACGCCGUACAGAAGUAGGAAUAAAUAUUCGGCUCAAUUAAUACGGUAACCAUUUUAAAGAAACCAAUUGUGUAUUUGUUAUAAACUAAAGCGUAAACUAAUCUUAAAAAUUGAAAACCAAAAAAAUAAAAGCGAAAAAGACAAAUAUUACUAUUAAAAAAUAAAUUAUUGAAUCUAACCACAAGAAACAAAGUUAAAAAAAAGCAACAAAAAAAUAUACAAAUGAGAUGAAAACUGAAACGAUGGAAUAUUGAUGAAAACCUAAUAACCAAAUUAUACAUAAAUGAUAUUAUUUUUAGCUGUUAUAGAAGCGUGAAUGUAGAUUGUAUUUGAAGAAGAAAAUGUAACGAAAACAAAGGACGUAAAUGAGAUUACAACAAAGAAGUUGUUUGGAAAAAUCAAGAUAUUCAUGAUGUUCAUUAAAUAAAAUUUAAUAAAAGAAUAUAAAAUGUGA
rnacentral:misc_RNA from 1 species